AUCCAGCUGACAAGUUCUAAAUAGGACGGAACACGCAUCCUGGAU
rnacentral:hammerhead_ribozyme from 1 species